GACGAACGCUGGCGGCGUGCUUAAUACAUGCAAGUCGAACGGAAAGGCCCUGCGUUUGUUGGGUGCUCGAUUGGCGAACGGGUGAGUAACACGUGUGUAACCUGUCCCUGACUUUGGGAGAACAUCUGGGAACUGGGGCUAAUACCGGAUAGAAUCUCCUGCUGCAUGUUGGGGGAUGGAGAGUGUCGGCGGUUGGGGAUGGACUCGCGGCUUAUCAGCUGGUUGGUGGGGUAGUGGCUUACCAAGGCUUUGACGGGUAGGCGGCCUGAGAGGGUGACCGGCCACAUUGGGACUGAGAUACGGCCCAGAAUCCUACGGGAGGCAGCAGUGGAGAAUAUUGCACAAUGGGCGGAAGCCUGAUGCAGCAACGCCGCGUGCGGGAUGACGGCCUUCGGGUUGUAAACCGAUUUGGCCUGUGCCGAAGCGUGCGUGACGGUAAUGGGUCAAGAAGCCCCGGCUAACUACGUG
rnacentral:rRNA from 1 species